UGAUGGCGAGUGGCGAACGGGUGAGUAACAUAUCGGAACGUGCCCAAUCGUGGGGGAUAACGCAGCGAAAGCUGUGCUAAUACCGCAUACGAUCUACGGAUGAAAGCGGGGGACCUUCGGGCCUCGCGCGAUUGGAGCGGCCGAUAUCAGAUUAGGUAGUUGGUGGGGUAAAGGCUCACCAAGCCAACGAUCUGUAGCUGGUCUGAGAGGACGACCAGCCACACUGGAACUGAGACACGGUCCAGACUCC
rnacentral:rRNA from 1 species